rnacentral:lncRNA from 1 species
UAUUGCUUGGGUUCAGAAUGUAUGAGGAAACUGUAGUUCUAAUUUAGAUUAUAAAUCCACAAAUAACUUUACAUUCCCUUUUAAAAUUAUGGUUUAAUAGCUGCAAGAGAUUUAUUUUUGUUAUACUAAACUAUGGAGAAUUUCUCAUAGAGUUUUUUCAAGCUUUUCUGUGUUUCAUUUGGAACUGCUUUGUCUGUAUGCAUUGUAUAUGACCAAGGUUGUCAUUCUGGAAAAACUCAGUAAGUGGUUAGAAACGAUAUGGUUUAACUGUUGGGAUCUUUAAACUGUCACCCUUUAUUUCACAUUUUAAAAACUAGACUUCACAAAAAGUAGCUGAUUUUUUAAAAUGGUAUUUUACCUGGCACCACUUAUUAUUUUUUACAUGUCUUUGACCUUCCAAGUUUUGAUGUUAAAGAAAAUCCUUGCACUACAGGCUUUUCAUAAAAUACAAGAUUCUCACAUUGAAGGUUUUGUAUUGGAAGAAAUGCUACUGGUUUCUAAAAGGCAAAAAAUUAUAGAAUGAUUAGCAUUUCUUGAUAGCUUUUCCUGUGUCGUCCUCAUUGCUUUGCUUUGUGUGUUACUCUAAUUAUGAAUACUUACUGAGCCCUUCACAUAUCUUUUUUUAAAGCAGCACCUUUGGACACCUCAUUCUGGGAAGCUCGCUUGAAUUACAGUAAAGAACACACACACUUGUGUGGGAAGAAGUAAAAUGGAGAGUUUUGUCUUAAUUACAUGAAACUAAGCUUUAAAAUAUUUUAUAACAAAUUAUUUGAGCUGCAUAAUCUAAACAUGUCAAACGUUUUGUGGGACUAUUUUUAUAUAUGUAUAUGUGGGUGUAGGUUAUAACAUUUCAGUUUAUAAUAUAAAUUGUUAUUUCAGUUUAUAAGCUAUCUCUCAAAAGAGACUAGCUCUCUUGAGAAUACAUAAUUUAAAGUUUUAGACUGAAGUAAAACAACAUAGACAAUAGUGUAAAUUAGAAAUAUUGGAGGGCUAUAGAGCAGUGAAACUGCUAGUGCCAGUUUUCUUGUUUGUCUACCAUGUUUUCAGUUCUUGUUUUGUUUUGUUUUUGUAUUCUAAACAUUUUGACUGCUCACACAUUUGUUUAAUUACAUUUAGAGUUGGUUUGGGAAUAAAUAUCUUCUAAAAAGAGAUUUAUCUUAAAAAAUAAAUCCCCCUCUAGUUAGUUUCUAAGAGUUUAUGACUUCAAACACCCUAUAGGCAUAGACAGGAGUAGGUCAUUCAUGGGAGUCCCAUCCUUUCCUUGGAUUGGCAUAACUCCCACUAUUAUAUUAUAGCCUUGAGAACGCCAGCGCCUCUGUUGUGUCCUAAAAUAUAUUUGGGUUUUCUUUUGACUUCUUUGGGAACAGCUGCAUUAAAAGUUACUAAUCAGUAUAUCCUUAAGGACUGGGUGUUUACCUUUUGAAGGAAUGUUCUGAAGAGGUGACCAGAAAGGUUCUCUUUUCUUUCUGUUUCUUUUCUUUUCCUUCCUUUUCUUCUUUUCCUUUCUUUUCUUUAACCUAACUUGUAUAUGCCCUAUGCUCUUGGGCAUACUUUGUCGAUAGAAAAAUAUUUUGACCUUUAGGUACCUUUGGGGCCAGUAGUCAAAUAAUCCUAGGGCCGAUAUUAAAGUCUCAGAAUGAUUUAAGGUUUGCCUUUUAUACAUGUUUUGAAAACCUUUACAUUUUUUGUCAGGUAAUUUUUUUUCCCAAGCCGUGGAUAUAAUCUAUUCAACAUGUUUAUGCUAUCCAUUCUGUUUUUAAAUUGAAAAAAAGUUAAAAGUGUUUAUGAAGAAAAGUUUAAAUAAAAUAUUUUUAAUCUUU